AGCUCCAAUAGCGUAUAUUAAUGUUGCUGCAGUUAAAAAGCUCGUAGUUGGAUUUCUGACUUGGCGCACCUGGCCCGCCACGGUUACGUGUGUGAGUGCCGGGAUGCGCCUGUCACUUUUCUAGUAAACUAUUGUGCUCUUCAUUGAGUGUGAUAGGUAGCUAGAUAUUUUACUUUGAAAAAAUUAGAGUGUUUAAAGCAGGCGUUUGCUAUGAAUACAUUAGCAUGGAAUAAUAAGUUAGGACUUCGGUUCUAUUUUGUUGGUUUCUAGGACUGAAGUAAUGAUUGAUAGGGAUAGUUGGGGGUGCUAGUAUUCAGCGGCCAGAGGUGAAAUUCUCGGAUUCGCUGAAGACUAACUUAUGCGAAAGCAUUCACCAAGGAUGUCUUCU
rnacentral:rRNA from 1 species